rnacentral:rRNA from 1 species
AUUACCGCGGCUGCUGGCACGAAGUUAGCCGGAGCUUCUUCUACGGGUACCGUCAUUAUCGUCCCCGUCGAAAGAGUUUUACAACCCGAAGGCCUUCAUCACUCACGCGGCAUGGCUGGAUCAGGGUUUCCCCCAUUGUCCAAAAUUCCCAACUGCUGCCUCCCGUAGG